UUAACGUCAUAUCCUUGAAAGCAAUCAAGAAUCCUGUGUUAUGCAUGCUGCCUCAAGGGCGCUACUUACAGUUUUAUGACGGGUUCAGCUGGGGUUCGAAACCAGAGCCUCAUUGCCUUUUUCCAAAGUGUUGACGCUCUAGUCCACUACACCCCACAUCCCCAAUCCCCAAUUAAUGGCGUGGAUCUCGAUGUCGUCCGCAAACAGUUCAGCUUGGCAGCUAGCGGGUGGUUGGGGGAAGUCGGACAUCAUAACAUUGAAAAGAAGAGGGCUUAAGACGCAUCCUUGUGGUACGCCUUUUAGGGUUGUUCUUUCCUCCGAAAAGGUGUUGCCUAUUUUAACUUAGAGUUUUCUGCCGUUGAGGAAGUGGUGCAGCCAUCGUAACAUAGUGCCUGCGACGUGCAUCUUAGUUAGUUUGUAGGUUAUGCCAGUUAUCCAGGUACUAGGGUAUGCGUUCGCCAGGUCGAGGAAUACUGCUGUGCAGAUCUUCUGAUGGUUGAAUGCUGACUUGAUUGACGACUCCAGUUUGAUGAUAUUAUCCAUCGUUGAACAGUUCUUCCUAAAUCCAGUUUGGCAUUUGGGAUGUGAGAGAGAUCGGCCUAUACGAAUCCGUUCUACUAGGGCCUUUUCCACUCUUGAGCAGAGGUACAACAGAAGCUCUUUUCCAAACGUGGGAGACGUAGCCGGUCAAGAAUAGGAUGUUAAUGAGACAGUUUGAUAUUUCGAACGAGGAGAAGGAGUUGUUGAGAGGGUGGGGGAGUCAUCUUGUAGGUGUCUAUUAAUCGCAGCGCUGUACAUUGGCUCUUCAGCUAACGGG